rnacentral:rRNA from 1 species
GACGAACGCUGGCGGCGUGCUUAACACAUGCAAGUCGAACGGAAAGGCCCAGCUGUUGGGGCGUGCUCGAGUGGCGAACAGGUGAGUAACAAGUGAGUAACCUGCCCUUGACUUUGGGAUAACUACAGGAAACUGGGGCUAAUAACGGAGAAGAGCUCCUACUGCAUGGUGGGAGUUGGAAAAAUGCGGCGGUGGGGGAUGGACUCGCGGCUUAUCAGCUUGUUGGUGGGGUAGUGGCUUACCAAGGCUUUGACGGGUAGCCGGCAUGAGAGGGUGACCGGCCCCAUUGGGCCUGCGAGACGGUCCAGAAUGCUACGGGAGGCAGCAGUGGGGAAUAUUGCAGAAUGGGCGGAAGCCUGAUGCAGAAGCGCCGCGUUCGGAAUGACGGCUUUCGGGUUGUAAACCGCUUUAGCAUGUGACGAAGCGUGAGUGACGGUAAUGUGUAAAGAAGCAACGGCUAAAUACGUG